rnacentral:lncRNA from 1 species
AUAGGUCGUACAGAGUGACGAAAAGCCUCUAUGCCACGUCAUCGAUCGGGUUGCCCAAAUGGGUGGAUGACGUGGCCCCGGAUCUUGGGUGGAUGAGCCAGCGGUCGAGCUGGGUUGGAUACGUGGCCGUUUGCGAAGACAGAAGAGAGAUCGCACGGAUGGGAAGGAGAGACAUCGUUAUCUCUCUCCGCGGAACCUCCACGUGUAUGGAAUGGGCCGAGAAUCUCCGGGCCCAAUUGGUAGACCUUCCCGGAGGGCAAGGAAAGCCCAAAGUGGAGUGUGGGUUCAUGAGUCUCUACAAGACCAAAGGAGCACACGUGGCGAGUCUGUCCGAGUCCGUUGUGGAGGAAGUGAAGAGACUCGUGAAUCUCUACAGAGACGAAGAGUUGAGCAUUACCGUCACCGGACACAGCCUGGGUGCCACGCUGGCCUUACUGGUGGCCGAUGAGAUAAGCACGUGCUGCGCCGGAGUUCCACCCGUGGCUGUUUUUUCCUUCGGUGGGCCGCGCGUGGGAAACAAGGCCUUCGGAGAGCGGUUG